UACGGAGGGUGCGAGCGUUGUCCGGAAUCACUGGGCGUAAAGGGUGCGUAGGCGGCGCGGUAAGUCGGGUGUGAAAUCUCGGAGCUUAACUCCGAAACUGCAUUCGAUACUGCCGUGCUUGAGGACUGGAGAGGAGACUGGAAUUUACGGUGUAGCGGUGAAAUGCGUAGAUAUCGUAAGGAAGACCAGUGGCGAAGGCGGGUCUCUGGACAGUUCCUGACGCUGAGGCACGAAGGCCAGGGGAGCAAACGGG
rnacentral:rRNA from 1 species